GCUUCCCAUAUUUCCUCCAAAGUCACCACAGCAUAUCCUGCCUUUCAAAUUCCUUCCUGCAUAAAACUAGUUCCAUCGGUGUAUAGGGUAAAGUCUGGAUCCAGCAGGGGAACAUCUUUCAUGUCUGGGUGACUAGCCCUCUGUCUGUCAUCUUGACUCUUCAAACAAGAUCUGGUCCAGCCAUUCAUCAUGAGGGCCAUCUUCCUUGCCUUUGCUAUGUUCCUGCUUGUUGCCAUGGCCUCUGCAGGUUACAACAGGCAAUGCACCAAUGAAUGUAGAGGGUAUUGUUCCCACAAAUGUCCCUCUCAAUAUACUUCUCAAUCAAACUGUGCCUGUGCAAGAUAUGGUGGUGUUUGUUGUAUUAACCUUUACCCUGUACAUCCUCGUCAUCCAGUGCCUGUUUUUGCCCCAGCCCCGAUCCCAGCUCCUGCUCGUCUUCCUGCUGCUCCAUAUCCACAUGCUAAGUGGCCAUACUGGAGACCUCCCCACAAAGGUUAAAUAAUCAGACAAGAGGAACAUCGGUUGCAAAAGCUAUUGCCAUUAAGAAAAAAAAUGUUUGCAAUCCUCUUGCUAAAUAAAUCAGCUUUGACCAAUC